AUUGAACGCUGGCGGCAUGCUUUACACAUGCAAGUCGAACGGUAACAGGCCUUCGGGUGCUGACGAGUGGCGAACGGGUGAGUAAUGCAUCGGAACGUGCCCAAUCGUGGGGGAUAACGUAGCGAAAGUUACGCUAAUACCGCAUAAGCCCUGAGGGGGAAAGCAGGGGAUCGCAAGACCUUGCGCGAAUGGAGCGGCCGAUGUCAGAUUAGCUAGUUGGUGGGGUAAAGGCCUACCAAGGCGACGAUCUGUAGCGGGUCUGAGAGGAUGAUCCGCCACACUGGGACUGAGACACGGCCCAGACUCCUACGGGAGGCAGCAGUGGGGAAUUUUGGACAAUGGGCGCAAGCCUGAUCCAGCCAUGCCGCGUGCGGGACGAAGGCCUCGGUUGUAACCGC
rnacentral:rRNA from 1 species